rnacentral:rRNA from 1 species
UACGUAGGGUGCAAGCGUUAAUCGGAAUUACUGGGCGUAAAGGGCGCGUAGGCGGCCUUCUAAGUCGAACGUGAAAUCCCCGGGCUCAACCUGGGAACUGCAUCUGUGACUGCAUUGCUGGAGUGCGGCAGGAGGGGGAUGGAAUUCCGCGUGUAGCAGUGAAAUGCGUAGAUAUGCGGAGGAACACCGAUGGCGAAGGCAAUCCCCUGGGCCUGCACUGACGCUCAUGCACGAAAGCGUGGGGAGCAAACAGG